rnacentral:rRNA from 1 species
CACGUAGGCGGAUCGAUCAGUCAGGGGUGAAAUCCCAGGGCUCAACCCUGGAACUGCCUUUGAUACUGUCGAUCUGGAGUAUGGAAGAGGGGGGUAGAAUUCCAGGUGUAGCGGUGAAAUGCGUAGAGAUCUGGAGGAAUACCGAUUGCGAAGGCAGCCCCCUGGACAGUGACUGACGCUCAUAUGCGAAAGCGUGGGGAUCAAACAGGAUUAGAUACCCCAGUA